UUGGGGAAGGAAGCAGCCUUGGGCUGUCCCAAAAUCCUGGUUGUUUUCUGAUCCUCAUCCAUUCCUUUCACAAGUGAUGCCUCCUGAAAUUGUCACCUUCCCCAUUCCCAGUCAGGAAUGUUUCCAUCUGAUCCAACUGUUUCUUUUCCAUUCUCCAGAAAUGAAAGUAGAGCCUGUGCAGAUGGAAGCACUCCCCAGAGGAAGCAGUGGUUCCAUGCCAGCCUCUGCUGCAGGAAGGGAGGCCAUGCCAGGCACAGACACAGGAGAUGAGGGUGCUGGGAAGGCUUCUCCAUCAGCUUGGAUGAAGAAAGUUCUGAAGCCCUUGGAGCCUCCUGCAGAUGUGUCUACAGGGAGGACUUCUCCAGCUCCUACCUUGGAUGCUGCACUCAAGCCCAGCACCCAUCUCAGGGGUACUCCAACAGGGAAGAUCCAAGACAGAACAGACAAGAUAUCCCUGGAAUCACCCAAAGAGAUAAGGCAAGAGCUGAAGGAUCUCCUGCAGACAAGACAAGAGAUGGACAUAGUGCUUCAGUGGAAGUUGGCAUUUCUUGAAGGAAGCACUCCAUCUUCGGUGCCAGCCCCUGCUGCAGGAAGGAAGGCGAUGGCAGACACGGGC